rnacentral:lncRNA from 1 species
GAAAUAUGCUGCUGAGUACAAGUUUGACGGCAGGCAUUUCUCAAGCCAUCUCUCCAGUGACCAACAAGGUUGAUGGGAGUGAAAUCGUUUUCUGUUUAAAAAACUGAUUUGGAACAUAGAUUUUGAUGCUCAUCUUCCUAGAAAGACUGGCCACAUCUCUCAAAGGGCAGGUCUGAGGCAUCAUGAUACAUAACACUUUUUCUCCUGCUCAGAUUUCUCUGGACUGCACAUAUUUCUAAUUUUAGAAGUAGCUGCAAGCAGUUAGGAGUCAUGCACUCACAUAUUCAAUGGUCUGUGCCAAAGCUGUCCAUGUCUGUUAGGGUAAUGUGUACUCGGUUAUUUUAAAUUCUUUCCUUUGAAAUGAAUGCUUUGCUGUUUCCACAUUUUCUGAUAAUCAGAAAUAUACUUUUCCAGACCUCUUCCUAAAGCAUGUUGAUUUUAAGGUCUGCACCAGACCUCUGUUCUGCUCUCGACUGUUGAAUAUGUCUGGCUUAUUUAAAAAAAACUGUGUUUGCCCAUAGAGGGGCAGGGAACUGGGGAGGAGAAGGUAGUUAAGGUAGGAUUCUGACUCCAAAUGAGCUGAUUAAAAGGUAUCUGAGAUAAUUGUUUUCAAAGGUGGAAAGAGAUGGCUGGAAAUCAAUGGGCAGUCAUGUUGGAAUGUAAAAGUAAUCAACAUGAACACAGGCCAUAUCAUCAAUGCUUUCUGAAUGCAAAGGGAAAGGGAACUACUAUGCCGUGGCUUCCUUCAAAUUGAUGUGUCUUUCCAAACUUAGAGGAGCAAGAGAAAUGCUUGCAGGGACUUUAACUUGAAAAAAAAAAACAGGCUUGUGGCAUUAACAUAGCACGUUGAGUUCUUUGGAGUCAAGGUGCUGGCUAAAUUUCUCCUGCUAAUAAAUGCUUUUAUCACAAAGUAUACCCAAUUCCACUAUCUGUGUGAUGCAUACCAAGUUUCUUUGGUUUGUAGCAAGACCAUUUUGCAUUACAGUUAUUCAAGAAAUCACUGAUCAAUUACUAAGAUGCAUCUUCAUAAGAAAUAAAUUCUUGACAUGCAUAGAAGUAUAUGGAUGGUUGAAAGUAACUUGGAAAUUGGAGUAACUGAAAUAAUUUAAUCUAAUCCAGUCAUUUCACAGGUGGGAUAGUGGAGGCCCAAGUUACUUAUGGGAUUGGGUCAAAGAAAGCCAGCAUUCUUUGACCAGUAUUAACAUCUGUGUGUCCUGAUAUCUACUCAAACUAUGACAUGAUAAUAUCUGUACACCAAUCACACAGAAAUGAACUAGAGGUGAUAUAGUUUAGAUGUCCCUUCCAAAUCUCAUGUUGAAAUUUAACACCCAGUGUUGGAGGUGGGGUCUGGUGGGAAGCGGAUCCCUCAUGGCUUGGUGUUCUCCUUGCAAUAGUGAGUACUUGCAAGAUCUGGUUAAGUCUGUGGCACCUCUCCCCACCUCACUCUCUCUUGCUCCCACUCUGCCAUGAGAGAUGUCUGCUCCCACUUCGCUUUCUGCCAUGAGUAAAAGCUCCUUGAGGCCUCCCCAGAAGCCAAACAGAUGCCAGUGCCUUGCUUCCUGUACAGACUGCAGAACUUAUUUCGAUAGAAAGGCGCUUGAACAUGCAGAACGUGCUCACAGUGCUGGAGCUCUUGCCCUGCUGUUUGUAUGGACUCCAUAAAAAGGGCACUGCUACUGCAAGUACAGAUGUAAGUAUCCAGCAUACGUGAAGAAAGAGGUGCAGGGCAGCCCUUGAACUCUACCCUGCUGGAGUCUCACCUGUCCUCCCUCUCUCCUCAUCCGCCACACUCAAUCAAGACUUGGACCUCAUAGCAAGCUCCUCGGGCCCCUGGAACAAGAAGUCUCUAGCAUCUCUGCAGAUUUCUUGCCCACAGUGGGUAGCAGCGUGCCCUGAAGCAGACUGCUGAGACAGACAGUGAGGAGCACUUUCCUGGCAGCACUCAGUGUGUGGCAGACAAGCUUGUGGUAUUUGCCACCUGCAGGGACUAUGGGACAUGCUGUCAGAAUCCCCUCAAACUGCUUUCAAGGAAUCCUGGACUGAUGAUCAGCUCAGGACCUCAGUUAUCCCAGGCCUCAUGGGCCAGGGGUUUAUUAGAUCACAACAUACCUAUAACCACUGCAUGGCAUAAAAAUCAGGAAGCCCAGAGAACACAAAUGUCUGGCCCACGUCUGUAAGUGACAGCCCAGGAUUAGAAGGGACACUGGAUUUUGUGGAUGCUCCUUGGACACACUGGAAUGCACCUUGGGCAGCCCGUGGAUCAUUUUCCCCAGUAUGAAGCAUGGGAGGAGCUGGAAAAUGAACUCAUGAGCCAGUUGAGCCAGCACAACAAGCUGGAGCCAGGAUAUGCAGCUGGGAGCGAGUGUCCAGCCAACAGCCCGUGUCUCAGGCCCUGCCAGGGGAUGAAUCAAUUAGCAAGAGAAGCAAUGAUGCAAAUGCUCCGGGGUCACUUGGGAUGCUGUUUGCCUUUUUGAUAGAGAAAGCACACCAUAAAUAACAUCACACCUCAGGAAAUCAUUCCAGGAGGCCCCGAUGCUGGCAGGGCUGCUGCCAGGGACGGAAGGAAUCGUUUGCUCAUUGUGUGUAUUUCCCCCAGCUCAGUCAAUGGGAGAUUUGUAGUAAAAUCAAAGUAUUUAAAAGGAGGACAGUAUGUGGUAACAGAGGCAUGUUUAGCAAUUUUUUUAGUACCAGAACCUGUGAUUUAUGACCCAGAGUUACAGCCAACUUUAUUACAAAAAUGACUUCACCCAUAAUAACCUUAUUCAGGGCCCUCUGAUGAAUGAUGUAGUAUCCAACAGCAUUAUAAUCUAGUAAAUAUUCAAACACAAUUCCCGCCUCCGCCUCAUUUCCAACCAACCCCUCAGAAGCAGGCUUCCCCCUUUACCUGCUGGGAGAAGUGGGGUCCUGGGUAAGGCUUUGUGCUCUGUCUGUGGGAGUUUGCCUGGAUCAGGCAUUUAUACUAAGCCAGGACAGAAAGUGACCUCCUGGGGUCUCAGUCAUAUCUUGUCCAACCUUGUCCCCUGAGGAGUAAUGAGCAGAAGACACCCACUCACCCUUCAUUUCCUCUCUGUGCUGAAACUUAUUUCCUCCCUGCAUUCCCCCACUCCUCCAGAGCUCAGAUCCCCACCACCUGAAAGGAGCUCCAGUAAGCUCCCUGACAUUUUUAAUUGCCAUGGUAACUGAGGGCUGCACUAAAACCGCCAGGGCUGGGUGUCCAAGCAGGGUCCCCUGGGCGUACCGGGAUCUAGAAACUAGCCCUCCAUCUUAUUAAACUCCGGUGUCAGUUCCUAGCAAUUGUUUUAAAUUUACACCCUCAGAGUGGCUUAGUGGGAUUACAUGUCCAUUUGCAUUAAAACAGUUUUCUGUCAUUAAACUGCCAUACAAUAAGCUUCCUUGGGACAAAUUAAUGAGCUCUAAAUAUCAUCAAGUAGAAGUUCACUUCAAGACAGGCAACAAGGAGGGGGGUCGGAAGGAAGUGGCUGCUCAGAAUCUCAUGGCCCAGGAGAACGAUAAGUGCCAACUAAAGAAGGGUCUUGUCCUGUUUCUUCACUGCACGAUAAGUGGUCCUGAUUUAGAGCUGAAUGGGGAGAUUUGGCAAUAUUCUCCCUGUUCGCCAAAAUCCUAUAGCUCAUCUUCUAUUCCUUCUUCCAAAUAUGACUUUACCCUUGACUUUGCUGAAAUUUGCUGAUGAAACACUGACCUCUUGUCUCAGUGACAAUGUCUCAGCCUCAUUUUCUUUGUCCUGUAGUUUCUCUGUCCUUGAGGAACUUGCGUGCAUCCACGUGGCCUGGGAACAACACGCACACAACGCAGCACUAUGUGUAGCUUGAACAAGUGCUCCCUAACUUUGUUAGUUCCCACACACUUUGCUAAAAUGCAUGUAUGAUUGCUACUGAACUGUCUGGGUCCUCAGACCUUAUCGGGACCCUGGAACACGAGUCCUGAUCAGGAGCACCUUUCAUGGUCAUCAGGAGCAGAAUAGGAACAGGGAACAGUUUAGCUUCUAAGACUGAAUUUGUCCUGCUCACAAGAAUCACCAGAGCUUGUCCUCACAAAUACAUAUGUGUGUCUAAGUAGAAAUUUUUCAUUAACACCAAAUAAACCCCCAAACCUUCCCUUAUGUAAAGGAAAUAAGACUGGCUGCUAGACAGACUUCUUGAUCCACAGAGGCUGUGAUCUCAUUUCUGUGUAGCCUUAACAGGGGACAGUAAUGUAUGAUUGAGACACUGCUAUAUUUAGGAAUGACAAGAUGAACAUUAUUAAUAGCUUAAUUGACAUUAAGGCAAUUACCCCUACCCUUAUUACAGUUUGUAGAAUUACACAGAAAAUAUUGGCUGGGGCCUUUUUUUCCCUAGAGCUACCCAAGGAUACAGCAUUUUAUUUCAUGCCAGAUCCCAGCUUUGACAUUAGAUACUUAGCCAUAGAAUGAUUCCAGUAAAUCAUUAUAAAUGCAUUAUAAUAAAGAUGUUAUGAGCUAUCAGAUAUUAACCCCCAACCCCUAAAGAGAGAUAAAUAGUCCAGUUGCAUGAUUCCCACUUUUGUUUCAUAAGAAAUAAGCUUUUGCAAAGAGCAACUGACUAAUGAAUUAUAAAAUGGUGUGUUGAGCUCAGAUAAUUAAACAAUGCAUUUUAGUGUCUAGUGCAGGAUGAACACUAAAUCAUACACAAAUAAAAAAGGUAAAAAUCUGAGCCCCAUGCCUAACUCCUAUUUUUGAAUAACAUUAAUGUUGGUCUACAGUCCAAAAAUGCUUCAACUAUUUUCUUAUCUGAUUAGAGAGGCAUAUCAAGUAUAAGAUCAAGGCACAGUAGGCAAACUAAACCAACAGUCAGAACAAAAACUGUGAAGGUGCUAAUUUCAGAUAAGCCCACAAGGUUAUUUUAAUGGAGAUUUUACAUGGAGAUUGCUUUUUCCCCCAAAGUGUUAAUGGGACAAAAGUCUAGAAGGACCUGGAAGUUUUCAGGUUUCCUUAUACUUUAUAUUUUCUCUGAACUCAUAAUAAAGCAUAUUAGUGGGAAUGGGAUCUAUGCUAUUGGUGGUGGUCUUAGCCUUAUAGUGUUGGAAAGAUGAAUACACAUCCUAAAAUCUUCUCUAGGUUGUGGAGGUGCAGGGAUGAGGAGGGGUUGGUUUGGGUUUCAACCAUUAUCCUCCCCAGGUGGUGGUAUCCUGCCCAGCAGGGCUUCAUCUAGUGGUCAACCAUGGAACACCAUGACAUUUUCACCAGUGGCCCUCAGACAGGGCUGGUUUGCCAUUGGCUGCCAUUUCCUGGCAUGUCGUAGAUUUGCUGCGUGAUUUGAAGCUGUGCUUCAGCACAUCCUGAAUGUGUUUUUUAGUCUUUCAGUAUCUCAAAGACAUGGUGUCCGCCUCAAGGUAGUCUCCUAUUUCUUCGUCAAAUAGCACAUCAUUAAGGACUGUGUGGCCAAAAUUACAGAUGGUCUUGGACUCUGUAUGGGCAAUGACCACCUGUGCUGGUAAUCGAGGCUUCCCUGGAACACCUGGGAACAUACCACACAGCCAGUCCUCUCCUGUGCUCCAGUCAAGCUUAACCUCACAGCCCGAUACUCCCUCCACUUCCCUAGCUCCAUGUGUUAGCCACUGCAGGUUAAUUGAUCUAAGGCUUAUUUUCUUCAAAUAUAAAAUGAAGAUAAUAAUGCCUACCCAGAGGGUCAUGUGAACAUUAAAUGAGAUCAAUUAUGUAAAGAUCUAUCUAUGCAGUGCCUUUCACAGAGUAUGCCCACAAAUAAAUGUUACCUGUUUCAUUUUAGUUAUCUAUGUUUAGCUAUCUUUGUGUUUUUUCUAUCCUGCUUCUUCUCGCUCCACUAUACUCUUACAUCCUAAUUCUCUCUCUCUCUCAUACACACAUACUUUGCUGUGUCUAGCACAGUGCUUUGCUUGUGGCUCACACUCUACAUGCUUGUUACCCUGAACUAUUAACAAAAGCAGCUGCUAGUAACAGUUAAUGUUUUCUGACCACCUACAUGAGCCAGGCACUAUGCUAAGUAUCAUCACUUCCUUUAAUUCUCACAAGCUUAUGAGACAAAUACUAUUUUAAUUCUCAUCUAUCGGAAAUUAAAGAUUAAAGAUGUUCUAUAACUUGCCCAAGGUCACACAAGCUCUUAAGUGGAUAGUCAAGAUCCAAACUCAGAACCGGCCUGGAUUUGAAAUCUCAGUUCUUAACUAUCACUGUGUCAGACUGAUUUUGUUAGCUUUUUCCUCCUUUAGACUGGGCCCUAUCAAGGGAUCAGAGAUAAGCAUGUACCCACUCUCAGAUGAGUGAUCCCACGACCUCAAGUUUUGAAGUUCCAGGAAGUCCAGAAGUGUAUGCUAACUCUAGUUUAUAGCUGUUCAAAAGUCACUUGUCUAAAAACUUCAGGGACAUUAUGUAAAACCAUCCAAAAAACAUUAUUGCACACCCCAUAAAGUUAAUUUCACUUUGCAAGAAUGUGUUUGAGGGAGGUGAUGCACUUGGCUAUGUAUUCAGGUUGGUGGCCACAAUAUAUGGAGCUGUGCUGUCAUCCUUGACACUCUGGCUUACUGGCAGCCUCGCUCCAACACACUGUCACAGGCGAGGGAUGGCCUCCCAGUCUUGACUCAGAACACUUAAGCUUCCUAAUGGUCCAAGUCUCACAAACCACACACCUCCCUUAAUUAAAAAAGUAAAUUAAAAGGAGUAUUUCAACUUAGGGAUGAAUUAUCUUAGUAAUUUAAGAUUGACAUUUUAUUGGAUAAAAGGACAUGUAUGAGUUUAUUUUAAAAUACUGCCUUCAUGAACAAGAGACCACAGAAAAGAUUAUCCUGAGGUUGCAAGGCGUUUGUAGAGCCAGAGGACACCCUUGCAAAACAGCCACUGUGAGAGGCCAGUUGCUGCAAAUCACAGGUCAGCCACUUCUACACUUGUCCUUCAAGCACAUCAGCCGGACAUUUGGAGUUUUCUAUAGUCUUCAUUUCAAACUCGAUCAUCCUGAGUGUUGUGGUGGACACUACUAGUGUCACAAAGAGUCCAGCACCCUCUCCUUCCAGGUAUAUAAACGGUGCAUUGCUGGGCUCCUUUGCAGUUGGAUAGGUCAGGUAAUUUGUCUGUUGUGAAGAGUUACUAUGUUUCACUUCUAAGCCGAAGCAUUUGAUUGUCAAUGGAAUACCCUCCAGCUCUCUCCUUCCCUGCAGAAGUAAUCUUGGAAGCAUGUGUUGAGAUGACAGAGUUCCCAAUAGCCUAGAUUCCUGAAUGACUUAGUGGAGCUGAGUCCUCCACAGGUCCAUGUUGGACAUGCACAAUCAGUGAGAAUAAACUUUUGUUGGAUUAAGUCACCGAUGUUUGGAGACUGUUCAUUACCACAACAAAAUGUAGCCAAAUCCCGACUAAUCCAGGAAUUAACCUUUUGUUCAGAAAAUACAGCCCUUCUAAGUCAUAAACCCAUAUUCUCUUUCCAAUAGCUUAUUAAAUGGUUUAUGUAUUUUCCAUCUUUUUGAUAUACUCUCAGAUGCCUAAAAUUACCACAGUGACCUUGGAUUGGACAAGGUAGUUGUUUGUCUUUUAGCCAUUAAUAAAUAUUGCUACUGUGGAAUGAGUGAGGGAAACAGAAGAAGACAAGGUUGGCCUUUUGAAAAUAAUAUGGCAUCAUGUAACGAUGAAAAAGAGAAAAAAUACAGAAAAAAGAGAAAACAAGAGAAAAAUGAAAAACAAGUCUAUAAGAGAGAAAAGUAGAGAAAAACAAAACAAUAGAAAUGCUGGGCAAUUUGUUUCAGAUUCACUAUAACCAACUGCUUGUUGUUGGGUUCUGCUCUAGAAGGCAUCUCUCAGGAUGCCUUUGACCCUCAGCACCUUUUUGUGUAUGUGCCUAGCAUACUGAGGUGCUCAAUAAAUGUUGAUUGAAAGGGUAAAUAAAGGAAUAAAUUUCCAUUUUAUAAUCUUGGAAGCAUAUAUUACUUUAAACGGCCUAUGACUAUGAAUGGACAUUCCAUUGCACAUUGAAAGGCAGUACAACAAGUGAGAAGGGAAGUAGAAAUAUAUGAGUUUGAAUAGCUCUUCAUAACCUUUAAACCUGAGUCCUUGCAAAGAGCAACUAUGAGGUCAGAGCAAUAAUUCUUUGUCCUAAAAACAGGACACCACUGAUAACUCAGAGCCGUCUGUUGAAGAAAGUGUUUCAAAUAAACUGGUUAGCAAUGCCCUUGUUUUGUUUGCCUCUGGAUGGGAAGAACUAGGAGUGCAAUCAGCACCGAGGUGUCUAUAGUCUUGAUGUGGUGGGAGAUGAAAGUAGGGGAACUGAAUAAUGUAUUUUUUCAAAACCUUGAAUGGAGCGAGAAAUACUGAUAAAAAGGAAGAGUUGUGAGUCAUUCUUCUGCUGAUGCCAACUGGGAAGCUCCAGUAGUAUAUUCCCCUGGUGAUGAAGUAAUUCACUUUUUCUGAGAUUAACAUUCUGUAGUAAGGCUGUUCCUCAUACAAGGUUGCUCACAGGUAAAGUUAAUAAAAGGCAGAGUCUAAGAAUUCAUAAGGAAGUUUGCCUUUCCAUGGGGAGAAAGCAUGCAAUCAGGGUCUCUAGUCUGUGUGCACACGUGUGUGUGCGCGUGUGUGUGUGCGCGCGCGCACUCAUAUGCACAGCUCAGAUGUCCAGGACUUGAGAUGAGAAUGGAAAGCACCGAAUAAGAAGAAAGCUGCCACACAGUAGGCUGAAGGAGAAUGACUACAACCUUUAGGCUGAAAAAAAAAAAACACUACAUGCUGGCGUGUAUCCUUGUGGAUAUGUGGAAACACAACAAAAAUAUUGGUCCAUCCUGGCUGCAGUUUUAAAGGAAAGGAAGAUCUCCUGGCAUCAACAUCUCUUGGAGAUGAACACACUAUACAUGCAAGUUCAAAUCUAUCAUCUUCCACCAGUCAACCCAAGCUACAUUCCCCUUCCAUUUAUUAUCAAAGGAAUAAGCACUUUUGUUUCCCAGGCUUAACUCCUCAAAAUCAUGAGCUUUUCUUCCCUACCUUUCCCUUCAUUCGAACUCUUUCCUUUCAAAAUGUUUAUAGAAUUCAUUCUUAUCCUCUCCCUGCCUGGGGGGUUUAUCUAGCUAGUCUAAAUUCUAGAUCAUUGCCUUUCUAUAGGAAAUAUAAAACACACAAAUAAUGAAAUACCCAUAAUCCAAGGCAGAAAUCAUGAGUGUUAUAGUAACAAUGGCCUCAAGAGCUAGACUGCCCAGGCAGCUCAUAUU